UUAAUUCCGAUAACGAACGAGACUCUAGCCUGCUAAAUAGUCCGCCUGGCCCGCCUGCCAGGCGCCGACUUCUUAGAGGGACAAGUGCGUGGAACGCACGCGAGAUUGAGCAAUAACAGGUCUGUGAUGCCCUUAGAUGUCCGGGGCCGCACGCGCGCUACACUGAAGGCAUCAACGUGUGUUCUCCCCUUGCCCGGAAGGGCCGGGUAACCCGCUGAACCGCCUUCGUGCUAGGGAUCGGGGCUUGUAAUUAUUCCCCGUGAACGAGGAAUUCCCAGUAAGCGCGAGUCAUAAGCUCGCGUUGAUUACGU
rnacentral:rRNA from 1 species